AGGGGCGACAUUAUCACAAAGCCCAGGAUGAUGAGGGCGGAGCAGCUGUUGUCGUCGAGGUAGCGGCAGAUAGCUGCCGGGGCGUCGAGGAUCUGGAAGGACAAAAUCCCUGCACACGCUGCUUCCUGUGAAGCAUGACCCAGCUCCCCUUGAAGCAGGCGUGCAGGAGUCACAGUGCGCCAGAGACUCGGUGGACUGUGGGAACGUGUUUGGGACGCUGUAGCUGAAGCACUG